GGGGGUGGGGGGUAUCCUCCAAGCAGGGCAGGGGUCAGCGUCUGCCCCUCCCCAGAAACUCUGGGGUCUGUCCUCAAACCUCCUUGGCUGCCAAAAUCUGCGCUGCGGACAUUCCCUGCCAAAAUGCAAGACCAGCUUCCUCCCGAAGGCUGAGCAGAAAGGGGAAAGGUCGAAUCUUAAAACUGGCGUCAGGCAGGACGGGGGGGAAACUCCGACCAGGGCCCGUCUAAGCCGAGGUCGGGCUGGACCCCUCGUGUGCCAGGUGGGAAAGAGCGCAGAGGCCAGGCCGGUACCCUCAGCGGCUUCGUCCGCAUGCGGCCAGGUCCCCCUUCCGCGCUAGCAGUCCCGGGGCGCGCUCCCCGGCCUCGGACCCCGGCGGCGAGCCGCGCGGACCCCUGCCUGCGACCCGAGGGAGGCCCGGACCCCUAGCCGGCAGGACUGCGCGCCGCCCCUCCCCGUUGGUCCAGGCGAGCGCCUCGCUUCCCCUCCCCCCUUCCCGCCUCCCCGGCCCGUGUCCCCGCCUUCCCCGCGGGCGACGGGCGGCGGCGGCGGCGGUGGCGGGAGGAGCGGGCCGAGCCGAGGCAGCCCCGACCUUGCGCGCUGCGAUGUAGCGAACCAGCGAGGACCGAAGCUGCGCGCACAGCCGGAGACACAGCUGGAACCGGGGCCCCAGCCGAAGUCGAAACCUCAGAGUCCGUGGCGAGCGAGCCCGGAGCCGACGAGCGGAGUACGCAGCGCAACCCGCGUGGGGGGCUGGGGACUUCGAGGCGGCCCAGACAGGAGUCGAUUCUGAACAAAACAAGUCAUUUGGGGCUUGAGGUGGGCACGAGCCGCGCGGGACUUGGAGGCCAGAUGCGUUUCUUUUGUGCGGCCGAGGGAGAAGUCGGUGCGUCAACGGAGAAGGAGGGAGCGGC
rnacentral:lncRNA from 1 species